UGGCAUCGUUGGCGAACGGCGUUGGUGCCCUUUCCACGGGCGCCGCUGCUACGGCGGUUGGUUCGAACGCGAAUGCUGCCGGCC
rnacentral:tRNA from 1 species